rnacentral:rRNA from 1 species
UACGGAGGUGGCGAGCGUUGUCCGAAGUUACUGGGCGUAAAGCGCGCGUAGGCGGGCUCUUAAGUGAGAAGUGAAAGGCUGGGGCUCAACUCCAUGCAGUGCUUCUCAUACUGGGGGUCUUGAGGGCGGUAGAGAGAAGUGGAAUGGCUGGUGUAGCGGUGAAAUGCGUAGAUAUCUCUAAGAACACCAGUUGCGAAGGCGGCUGGCUGGGUCCACAUUGACGCUGAGGCUCGAAAGCGUGGGGAGCAAACAGG